UACGUAGAGUGCAAGCGUUGCUCGGAUUUACUGGGCGUAAAGCGUACGCAGACGGCUUGGUAGGUCGGAUGUGAAAGCCCCGGGCUCAACCCGGGAAUUGCAUCCGAAACCACCUCGCUCGAGUGUGGGAGAGGGAAGCGGAAUUCCUGGUGUAGAGGUGAAAUUCGUAGAUAUCAGGAGGAACACCGGCGGCGAAGGCGGCUUCCUGGCCCAUUACUGACGUUCAGGUACGAAAGCGUGGGUAGCAAACAGG
rnacentral:rRNA from 1 species